rnacentral:rRNA from 1 species
UAGGGAAUCUUCCGCAAUGGACGAAAGUCUGACCGAGCAACGCCGCGUGAGUGAAGAAGGUUUUCGGAUCGUAAAGCUCUGUUGUUAAGGAAGAACGAGUGUGAGAAUGGAAAGUUCAUGCUGUGACGGUACCUAACCAGAAAGCCACGGCUAACUACGUGCCAGCAGCCGCGGUAAUACGUAGGUGGCAAGCGUUGUCCGGAAUUAUUGGGCGUAAAGCGCGCGCAGGUGGUUUAGAAAGUCUGAUGUGAAAGCCCACGGCUCAACCGUGGAGGGUCAUUGGAAACUAAUAAACUUGAGUGCAGGAGAGAAAAGUGGAAUUCCUAGUGUAGCGGUGAAAUGCGUAGAGAUUAGGAGGAACACCGGUGGCGAAAGCGGCUUUUUGGCCUGCAACUGACACUGAGGCGCGAAAGCGUGGGGAGCAAACAGG